AUAGCGGCGUUUUUAUAAAAAACGCCACAAAAAAUUACUUUAAAAUAAUUU
rfam:Gossypium raimondii Chr05_contig_322, whole genome shotgun sequence.